rnacentral:lncRNA from 1 species
CCAGCGGAUGUCCCGCCCUACUCUGUGGUUGGGUAGAAGGUGCUGUGAAUCCUGCCAGGGAAAAAGAAGCAUCCGUGAUAAACCAGCCGACCACCUUGCCAGAUGGUACAGCCAUUGCCCCAUGUGCUGCUAUGGUUAUCUGCAGAAGACCUGUAAAUAUUCCAACACGCGGCACUGAAUGAACUCUGGGUUCUUAACACUGAAAAGGAGAGGACAUGAGGGUAAGAUGUGUGGAGGGUUCCUAGAGGAGUUGGGGAAGGACAUAGGGGUUCCUGGAGGGAGUAGGAGGGGUUUCUUGGGGAUAAAAGAAGAGCUGAGUUGGGGGUUGCACAUGGCCAAGGUGUAUUGUUUACACAUAUGAAAUUGCCUAAGGGUAAAUGAAAGACACUGUGUUAAAAUGGUCAUAUAGUGUUUAGCAUGCUUGACGGGUAGUAAGCUCACAAUAAAAAUUACUGCCUCUCAGAAUGAGAUGGGCCGCUGAUGUAGAUCAGUGGUAACUAGUUAGUACACUUCAGGCCCAGGUUCAUAACAAAUAAACACAUAGUAAAAUAAAAGUACAAAACCAGGCAGAGCCUUGGUUUACAGGCUCGGAAAAGACCGGACCGUUUAAUGAGAUGCCGUGCUCAGGCGAUGUUUAUGCACUUGGAGUGCGAAGCUAGGGUCAUUAGAGAGGAGGGAGAAUCAACUGAGAAAAUGCCUCCAUGAGAUCUGGCGGUAAGGCAUGUUCUUAGUGAUCAGUGUGGGAAGCCCAGCCCACUGUGGGUGGAGCUAUCUGGAAAGCAGGCUCAGCAAGCCACCAGAACCAAGCCAGUAAGCAGCACCUCUCCAUGGCCUCUGCAUCAGCUUCUGCCUCCGGGUUCCUGUCCUACCUUGUUUGAGUUCUUGUCCUGACUUCUUCCAUGAUGGAAGACUCUGUGGAAGCUUAAAUAAACCCUUUCCUCUCCGAUUUAUUUUUUGUUCAUGAUGUCUCAUCACAGCACUGGAAGUUGGAACACUUGACACCAUGCCUGACAAACAGGUUGAUUCCCAGGACCCACAAGUUCUGGAGGCUGAGAAGUUCAGAAUGGAGGCUAACAUCCUCAAUUGUCACCACUGCAAUGGGAUCUACAGUCACCGAGAUCUGCCUGCCUCUGCCUCCCAAGUGCUGGGAUUAAAGGCAUGCGCCACCUCUGCCCGGCUUGAUGCAUGUUUUUAAGGAAGUUUCUAGACUGCAUUUAUUGAGGGACUGUCCUUGAACAGCUGAAGAUGCCCUGCCAGGAAGACCUGGGAAGCAUGUCUGCCUGCCCAGCUCAGGUCCGAGGUGGAUUGUGUGUUACAAGCUUCCUGUUGGAGUUCCCCGGGGGAUCAAGGUGAAGACAGGCUUCUCCAGGAUCACAUUGUGUGUGUGUGCCUGUAAGACUGAAGGGGGAAGGGAGAGCAUGGGGUCUUUCAUUCUUCUGUGUUCCGCCAUUAUCUCCAGCACAGGCUGGGGGUCUCCACAGCUGUAGUGUUGAAACAAAUUCUGCACACGGGAAACUUGUGUGCCCUAUACCUUUGAAUUCCCUCUGGACCACACUUCAGCUGUUCUUUCUGCCAAGGCGAUGGAUCAGUAGCCUCUAAUGAUGUCAUCU